rnacentral:rRNA from 1 species
AACGAACGCUGGCGGCAUGCCUAACACAUGCAAGUCGAACGCCUGUAGCAAUACUGGAGUGGCAGACGGGUGAGUAACACGUGGGAAUCUACCCAGUAGCUCGGAAUAACCGCGGGAAACUGCGGCUAAUACCGGAUAAGCCCCGAGGGGGAAAGGAGCAAUCCACUAUUGGAGGAGCCCGCGUCUGAUUAGCUAGUUGGUGAGGUAACGGCUCACCAAGGCGACGAUCAGUAGCUGGUUUGAGAGAACGACCAGCCACACUGGGACUGAGACACGGCCCAGACUCCUACGGGAGGCAGCAGUGGGGAAUAUUGGACAAUGGGGGAAACUCUGAUCCAGCAAUGCCGCGUGGGUGAUGAAGGCCUUCGGGUUGUAAAGCCCUUUUGUCGGGGACGAUGAUGACGGUACCCGACGAAUAAGCUCCGGCUAACUUCGUGCCAGCCGCCGCAGUAA